GCGGGAGUGGCGGAAUUGGCAGACGCGCUGGACUUAGGAUCCAGUGGGCAAAACCCGUGUGGGUUCAAGUCCCACCUCCCGCA
rnacentral:tRNA from 2 species